rnacentral:tRNA from 1 species
GCCAGCGUAGAUCAGCAGGUAGAGCAACUGACUUGUAAUCAGUAGGUCACGGGUUCGAUUCCCAUCACUCACC